GGAAGGAUCAUUACCGAACUGUCGACACGAGCUGUUGCUGGCCCUCGAAAGGGGCACGUGCACGCUCUGUUUACACAUCCACUAACACCUGUGCACCCUCUGUAGUUCUUAUGGCCUUGGGGACCCGUCCCCUUGCUGUGGUCCUACGUCUUUACACACACGCCGUAGCAAAGUCUCAUGGAAUGUAUGUCGCGUUUAACGCAAUACAAUACAACUUUCAGCAACGGAUCUCUUGGCUCUCGCAUCGAUGAAGAACGCAGCGAAAUGCGAUAAGUAAUGUGAAUUGCAGAAUUCAGUGAAUCAUCGAAUCUUUGAACGCACCUUGCGCCCUUUGGCUAUUCCGAAGGGCAUGCCUGUUUGAGUAUCAUGAACACCUCAACUCUCGUGGUCCGCCACGAUGAGCUUGGACUUUGGGGGUCUUGCCGGUGUAGCGUCGGCUCCUCUCAAAUGGAUCAGCUAGCCAGUGUUUGGUGGCGUCACAGGUGUGAUAACUAUCUACGCUUGUGGUUUCCUGCCUUGUAACCUUCAGUGAUGGAGGUUCGCUGGAGCUCACAGAUGUCUCUCCUUGGGGAAGACAGCUUUUUGAACGUUUGAUCUCAAAUCAGGUAGGACUACCCGCUGAACUUAAGCAUAUCAAUAAGCGGAGGAAAAGAAACUAACAAGGAUUCCCCUAGUAACUGCGAGUGAAGCGGGAAGAGCUCAAAUUUAAAAUCUG
rnacentral:rRNA from 1 species